rnacentral:rRNA from 1 species
UACGAAGGGGGCUAGCGUUGUUCGGAAUUACUGGGCGUAAAGCGCACGUAGGCGGACUUUUAAGUCAGGGGUGAAAUCCCGGGACUCAACCUCGGAACUGCCUUUGAUACUGGAAGUCUUGAGUAUGGAAGAGGUAAGUGGAAUUGCGAGUGUAGAGGUGAAAUUCGUAGAUAUUCGCAAGAACACCAGUGGCGAAGGCGGCUCACUGGCCCGAUACUGACGCUGAGGCACGAAAGCGUGGGGAGCAAACAGG